UAUAUUUCAAGAGACAGACUUGCUAACUAGAAAAAAACACGUAGCACAUUACCAGCCUUUUUCUUCAGGCCCGUCCUUGGUAGUGCAGGGGUCCUGCAGAGCAGCUCGACCUCAUUCACAGGACAGAAGAGAAGUGAAACUGUGUUACCGAACACGUGGCAAACAUGAAUAAUAAAACGCCGGUGUAGCUUUCGGAAAUGACUCCUCUCUCUGGUUUCUCCUCACAGAGUCACACUUCUGAUGCCUGCGUUCAGACCCGCAGGGAGUCUGACAAGCGGAGCUCCAGGCUGGACCGCCGGCGGGCUCGAUCGGCUGACCUGGAGAAGAUAAGACGCUCGCAGCUGAUGGUGGUGGACGACCACUGGAUGACAGAGUACAUGCGCUGUUUCUCCGCCCGGCUUAGACAUGGCUGGUAAGGACAUGAGGAGGAAACAGUAGGAGCUGUGUGAGGUUACUAAAGGCAGUGGAUCCCUCAGCAGCUGGAUUACAAAGAGCACAGUCUCAGAUCAACACAGCGCUGCCCUCCAGCACUAUCAGCAGCAGGAGCAGCAGCAACCCCUCAACAGCAACAUUGUACCCAUCAGGAGGAGUAAUGACUCAUGUGAGCAGACAGAUGGACGACGGACGGUUCCCCGUGGCAGGAGCUCAUCGGUCCUGCAGCCGGAUGAGCUGAAAUGUGACUUAAUGCUUGAAGUGGGGACUCGUCUCUCUCUCUGAUUCCACUCCUCGUGUCUUGUUACCGCUCACCAGAGAUACAAGCAGAGGAGUAGGCAAGCAGAGACACAGGGAGGGAGACGUUGAGGCAGCAAACAUUUAAGAAAAUGUUUUCCUGAUUUUUGAGCCUCAUUUUGAAGUUGCAUGAAUAGUUUGUUAUAGUCAAAUUACAGCUCAGCUUGAUACCAGUGUCAAUUUAUUUAAUAUAUAUAUUUUCAAUAAAAUCCACAUCACUCU